rnacentral:rRNA from 1 species
UACGUAGGGGGCGAGCGUUAUCCGGAUUUACUGGGCGUAAAGAGCGCGUAGGCGGUUCCGUAAGUUGGUUGUGAAAGUUCGAGGCUCAACCUCGAAACUGCGUCCAAUACUGCGGGGCUGGAGUGCAAGAGAGGCAAGUGGAAUUUGCAGUGUAGUAGUGAAAUGCGUAGAUAUUGCAAGGAACACCAGUGGCGAAGGCGGCUUGCUAGCUUGUAACUGACGCUGAGGCGCGAAAGCUAGGGGAGCGAACGG